GAUGAACGCUAGCGGCAGGCUUAACACAUGCAAGUCGAGGGGUAUAGGUUUUCGGACCUAGAGACCGGCGCACGGGUGCGUAACGCGUAUGCAAUCUACCUUUUACAGAGGGAUAGCCCAGAGAAAUUUGGAUUAAUACCUCAUAGUAUAGUACAACCGCAUGGUUGAACUAUUAAAGUCACAACGGUAAAAGAUGAGCAUGCGUCCCAUUAGCUUGUUGGUAAGGGAACGGCUUACCAAGGCGACGAGGGGUAGGGGUCCUGAGAGGGAGAUCCCCCACACUGGUACUGAGACACGGACCAGACUCCUACGGGAGGCAGCAGUGAGGAAUAUUGGUCAAUGGGCGCAAGCCUGAACCAGCCAUGCCGCGUGCAGGAUGACGGUCCUAUGGAUUGUAAACUGCUUUUGUGCAGGAAGAAACAGUUCUACGUGUAGAACCUUGACGGUACUGUAAGAAUAAGGAUCGGCUAACUCCGUGCCAGCAGCCGCGGUAACAC
rnacentral:rRNA from 1 species